AUUGAACGCUGGCGGCAUGCCUUACACAUGCAAGUCGAGCGGCAGCGCGGGGGCAACCCUGGCGGCGAGCGGCGAACGGGUGAGUAAUGCAUCGGAACGUGUCCUUUUGUGGGGAGUAACCAGUCGAAAGACUGGCUAAUACCGCAUGAGCUCGAGAGAGGAAAGCAGGGGACCGCAAGGCCUUGCGCGAGAGGAGCGGCCGAUGCCCGAUUAGCAGUUGGUGAGGUAACGGCUCACCAAGGCGACGAUCGGUAGCUGGUUUGAGAGAACGACCAGCCACACUGGGACU
rnacentral:rRNA from 1 species